rnacentral:lncRNA from 10 species
GAAACUUAUCACAUAAAGUUUUGCUAUCUAGUUUCUUCUGUUACUGCUUAUUAUUGGAAUCACUAAAUUAUUGUCUGAGGACAUUCGGUACCAAUUUUGUAUCCUCAGUGGUGCCCCAGUGUGCAGUUUUGCACUUUGUAAUAGUUUAAAUAUUUGUAUGACAUUUUAAAAUAUGAUGUAAUAGGCCGGGUGCAGUGGCUCACACCUGUAAUCCCAGCACUUUGGGAGGCUGAGGUGGGUGGAUCAUCUGAGGUCAGGAGUUUGAGACCAGUCUGGUCAACAUGGUGAAACCCUGUCUCUACUAAAAAUACAAAAAUUAGCUGGGCAUGGUGGAGGGCGUCUGUAAUCCCAGCUACUCGGGAGGCUGAGGCAGGAGAAUCGCUUGAACCCGGGAGGUGGAGGUUGCAGUGAGCUGAGAUUGUACCAUUGCACUCCAGCCUGGGUGACAGAGCGAAACUCCAUCUCAAAAAAGAAAAGAAAAGAAAAUGUUGUAAUAGGCACAUAGUUCAGUAAUUUUUCCCUUAGAAAUGUUGGUAUCCUUGCAUUUUAAUGCAAUUGUGAUUCUAUUUUAGGGAAAAGCAUAACAUCUUUAAAAUUUUAAGUCAAGGU